GACGAACGCUGGCGGCGUGCUUAACACAUGCAAGUCGAACGGAAAGGCCCUGCUGUUGUGGGGUGCUCGAGUGGCGAACGGGUGAGUAACAAGUGAGUAACCUGCCCUUGACUUUGGGAUAACUUCAGGAAACUGGGGCUAAUACCGGAUAGGAGCUCCUGCUGCAUGGUGGGGGUUGGAAAGUUUCGGCGGGUGGGGAUGGGCUCGCGGCUUAUCUGCUUGUUGGUGGGGUGGCGGCUUACCAAGGGUCGGACGGGUAGCCGGCCAGAGGGGGUGCCCGGCCACAUGGGGACGGGGUUACGGCCAGAACUCCAACGGGAGGAAGCGGGGGGGAUUAUUGAACAAGGGGGGGAACCCGGAGGCGGCAACGCCGGGGGCGGGAGAACGGCCUUCGGGUGUAAACCCGCUUUCGCCUGGAACGAGGCGUGAGUGACGGUAAUUGGUGAAGAAGCACCGGCUAACUACGUG
rnacentral:rRNA from 1 species